UUCCAAACCACAAACUAGCGCCUGUGUGUGUGUCUCUCUCUCUCCCUCUGCCUCUCCCUCUCUGCUGCUCCUCUCCCUCCCUCUCUCUCUGCCCUCUCCUCCACCUCCCUCCUCCUCCCAUCGCUACUCAAACCCUGACCCCAUUUCCAUUUCAUUAUUGCCUUCGCUUGUUGACUCUCCGUCAAAUCUUAAGAUUCAUUACUCGCCCACUACUGUUCCUCAAGUUAUGGACUCCUCAAUUCGAGCGAUGUGAAGCUCACGUUGAGUUCCAAGGACAAACUCACUAUUUCCUUGAAUGUUCAUCAGCAGAUCUUGGUUGCUCACAAUUGAUUCUUCGCGGUUAAGCUUUCUGAUCGGUGGUCGAAGCAGCAGCGAACUUCUAACCCCUAUAUUGUCGAGAUUGCUGACUGUGAUGAUGUUGAAGUUUACAUUGAGGCUCUAAGUUUGAUGUAUUGUAAGGAUUUGAGGAAGAAACUCAUGAAGGAAGAUGUCACCAGAGUACUUGGAAUCUUGAAGGUGCUGAUGAUAUGCCUUCGCUAAGGACUUAGCUUGGGAGGAUUGUGGUGCUGAAGGCUCACUUUUGUUCACUUUGAAAUUAUCUUUUGUACAAGCCUAGGGCUUUAUUUGUAUUGAGCUUAUGACUCAUUUUGUUGUAACCAAGUACGGUCUUGGAAAGGUUUAUGCCUUUAGGGCAUAUAAAUUUCUCUAUAGCUUUCAUCCUCUAUUACGUCUUGUAACACAUGCUGUAGAUUCAGGAUGAACAAUUUAUGAAUAUAUAUCGCAUGUGUCACCUUUUGUAUAUUGACUCUGAUCAAUGAAAGCUUCUUAUUGUAUCUCUAUCA